CAGCCGUAAACUAUGCUCGCUAGGUGUCAGGGACGGUGCGACCGUUUCUGGUGCCGCAGGGAAGCCGUGAAGCGAGCCACCUGGGAAGUACGGUCGCAAGGCUGAAACUUAAAGGAAUUGGCGGGGGAGCACUACAACGGGUGGAGCCUGCGGUUUAAUUGGACUCAACGCCGGAAAACUCACCGGGGGCGACAGCAAUAUGAUAGUCGGGCUGAAGACUCUACUUGAUGAUCUGAGAGGAGGUGCAUGGCGUAGACGUCU
rnacentral:rRNA from 1 species